rnacentral:lncRNA from 1 species
AAUUCUAUAGACUUUAUUUAAAAACCUGCUGGAGAACCAAAACCACUGAAGACUGAAAAAGAAACCCUGAUACCUGGCCUGGAAGAAACUGUUACUAUGCAAAGUUACAGACAAAAGGUUGUAUGUACUGAGCCAGUAAACAAGGACUUGUUACAUGAAAUCCCAAGUUUGCACAUGCAUGCUAAGAACAUUAAACAGUCUAUAAGUAGUUACAAUUCAUACACAGGAAGGAUGCUUUACUGGUUGGUCGUUCAGCUCCCAGAAGAUGUUCCUUUACGACAGAUUAAGCUGUAUUACUGGAAAGUUCUCCCAGUACACUAGUUUAGAAAAUACGUACAACUUCAAUCACUGUCUGAAAUUUGCCCCAAUGCCAAAGAACACCACAAGACCUGUGAUUACUAAAUCCUGCUUUUGGAAGAUGAAGUUGUUCACAGGCUUUUGCUAGCCCUCAGGAGAAGCCAGAUUUCAUGUUCACAAAAUAUUUUAUCCCAGAGAACUGAAAAGGAGACAGGAUCGUGAUGGCACAUUUGGCAGUCUACGAUCCUCGAGUGUCACAGAAGCUUUAGAACAGGCUUUUGCAGUUUGUUCAAUUCCCUUCAAACAGAAUUCUGCUUCCAUCGGAAUGAAAGCAUUUCAAAUGGUCUUCCUUUAUGUUCACUCUCAAAAUUAAAUAAAAUAUAAUUGUUUGUUUUGGCAAAAUAGAAAGUAAAGCUGUCUUCUAAGCACAAGUAUAGCAUGACCCCUCUUUUUUUUUAAGUGAAUUUAUGGUACUCCACCACUGAUCCUUGAAGGACUUACUAGCGGGUUUCCAAGCCUGCUACUGUCUUCCCCUUCAACAUCUAAGAAUAAGCUCCUUAUUGAAAGAACAUGAAACAACUAUAUCCUUCCUCACAUCAUCUUUUACACUUUUAUCCUGCCAGCACCUCUUCUUCAUUAGCUUCUGGCAAAUACAUGUUCUUCGAUAGCGCAUUAGAAAGGCCUGCCUAAGCCAAGUCCUCCUUCAAACGCCAGAUUUUUGUAUGAAGGUGUUUCUGUAAUAGAUCCAGUUAACUACUAACCGGGGGAAAAAAAGACAAAAUUAUUGUGUUUACAACAACAAGAGAAGUACAUGCAACUGGGCGGACAUUUGCCAUACAUAAAGCAUCUUUGGGGAGAAAAUAAGAGAGCAGAAAAAACAAAUAAUGGAUUUUCAGGACCCGAUGUCAAUUAACCUAACUGGCAAGUAAGAUCUUGCAGGACAAAAGUUAUGAAGAGAGCAGUUUCUCUACCAAAGGCGCAAGUGCAAGCUAUCUUAACGCAAAGAAAUGAAAUGUUAACAGGAGAAGGUGAUUUGACUCAGGUGUAACAAGAAAACAGAGGAAAGGAAACAAGAAAUCAGAACUGUAUUGGCUUUCUUAAAGGAUCAGUAUAAAAGAAUGGCAGGACAUACAAGGACAGAAAUUAAAAAGGCCAGAGAUAUAAAGAGCAACGAGAGAAUGAUCUACAGGCAUACUAGUAGGAAAGCAACAACUCUAAGAAUUGUUGGUCUGCUGUCCUGAGAGAGCACUACAGGGCGGGUAAUGUCAAGAAGGAAGAAGCCUUUACUGUUCAUCGCUAAAAAGGUUAACAGAAAAUGGGAACUAGCUCAGCUAAACAAAGGGCAAGAUUUCAGCCUUGAAAAAGGGCUGAAACAAGUUAAGGAGUGCUCACCUAAGCCAGAUGUUUUAAAAACUGUCGAGUCUAGACUUCUUCCAGAAAAAUGUUCUUAGAAGUGUGAACAGUUACCUUUCAAAACUCAUGGAGGAUAAUUAGGUAUCUGAAGACUAGAAGUGGCAAAUGUGCUAGUCACUCUUUUGCAAAAUUCCCAUCAAAUCCUCGAAAACUUUGACAAUGAAUAAUCAAAUAAAUUACUAGUUUGUGUCUAGAAGGUAAUGGAGAGGAGUUGGCAGCAAACAUAGAUCUGUAAAGACAAGGCACAUAGCAUUGAUCCAAUUUCUUCUCCUGUCACAGCAACAGGUCUUAUGGACAGAAUAAAAGUGUCAGAAUAACAAUUUCAUUAUAGUAAGACUUUUACCAGUAUCUGUAUGAGGUUCUCAUAAGCAAACAAGGGAAGAAUAGCUAUCAUGAAAUUUUAGUAAGAUAAGUAAAAAAACUGUUGAAUAUC